rnacentral:rRNA from 1 species
GAUGAACGCUAGCUACAGGCUUAACACAUGCAAGUCGAGGGGCAGCAUGAAAGUUUGCUUGCAAACUUUUGAUGGCGACCGGCGCACGGGUGAGUAACACGUAUCCAACCUGCCUCAUACUCGGGGAUAGCCUUUCGAAAGAAAGAUUAAUACCCGAUGUCAUAGUCCUACCGCAUGAUGGGAUUAUUAAAGAAUUUCGGUAUGGGAUGGGGAUGCGUUCCAUUAGUUAGUUGGCGGGGUAACGGCCCACCAAGACAACGAUGGAUAGGGGUUCUGAGAGGAAGGUCCCCCACAUUGGAACUGAGACACGGCCCAU